GGGGAUUUAGCUCAGUGGUAGAGCGUUUGCCUAGCAAGUGCAAGGCCCUGGGUUCAGUCCCCU
rnacentral:tRNA from 1 species